UGGGGAAUAUUGGACAAUGGGCGGAAGCAUGAUCCAGCCAUGCCGCGUGUGUGAAGAAGGCCUUUUGGUUGUAAAGCACUUUAAGCGAGGAGGAGGCUACUUGGAUUAAUACUCUAGGAUAGUGGACGUUACUCGCAGAAUAAGCACCGGCUAACUCUGUGCCAGCAGCCGCGGUAAUACAGAGGGUGCGAGCGUUAAUCGGAUUUACUGGGCGGAAAGCGUGGGUAGGCGGCUGCUGAAGUCGGAUGUGAAAUCCCUGGGCUUAACUUAGGAAUUGCAUUCGAUACUGGGAAGCUAGAGUAUGGGAGAGGAUGGUAGAAUUCCAAGGGUAUCGGUGAAAUGCGUACAGAUCUGGGAGAAUACCGAUGGCGAAAGCAGGCAUCUGGCCUAAUAAUGACGCUGAGGUACGAAAGCAUGGGGAGCAAACAGG
rnacentral:rRNA from 1 species